UACGGAGGGGGCGAGCGUUAUUCGGAAUUAUUGGGCGUAAAGGGCGCGUAGGCGGCCUGAUAAGUCAAAGGUGAAAUCCCUCGGCUCAACUGAGGAAUUGCCUUUGAAACUGUCAGGCUUGAGGCCGGGAGGGGGUGGCGGAAUUCCCAGUGUAGCGGUGAAAUGCGUAGAGAUGUGGAGGAACACCAGUGGCGAAGGCGGCUUUCUGGUCUGUAACUGACGCUGAGGCGCGAAAGCGUGGGGAGCAAACAGG
rnacentral:rRNA from 1 species